UCCGAGUUGACCCCGGCAGUCUCCUGCGAGUCCCCAGCCGAACUGCUGGCAACACAGGACGAGGGUUGCGCUCGUUGCGGGACUUAACCCAACAUCUCACGGCACGAGCUGACGACAGCCAUGCAGCAUCUGUGCACGCUCCCUUGCGGGUCAUCACCGUUUCCGGCUCUUACCACGUGCAUGUCAAGCCUAGGUAAGGUUCUUCGCGUUGCGUCGAAUUAAACCACACGCUCCGCUGCUUGUGCGGGCCCCCGUCAAUUCCUUUGAGUUUUAGCCUUGCGGCCGUAGUCCCCAGGCGGAGUACUUAUCGCGUUUGCUUCGGCACUGAGGGGGUCGAUACCCCCAACACCUAGUACUCAUCGUUUACAGCGUGGACUAC
rnacentral:misc_RNA from 1 species